rnacentral:rRNA from 1 species
AGAGUUUGAUCCUGGCUCAGGAUGAACGCUAGCGGCAGGCCUAAUACAUGCAAGUCGAACGGGAUCCGGUUGUAGCUUGCUACGAUCGGUGAGAGUGGCGCACGGGUGCGUAACGCGUGAGCAACCUACCCAUAUCAGGGGGAUAGCCCGGAGAAAUCCGGAUUAACACCGCAUGCAACCAUUAGAUGGCAUCAUCAUAUGGUUAAAUAUUCAUAGGAUAUGGAUGGGCUCGCGUGACAUUAGCUAGUUGGUGGGGUAACGGCCCACCAAGGCGACGAUGUCUAGGGGCUCUGAGAGGAGAAUCCCCCACACUGGUACUGAGACACGGACCAGACUCCUACGGGAGGCAGCAGUAAGGAAUAUUGGUCAAUGGGGGCAACCCUGAACCAGCCAUGCCGCGUGCAGGACGACUGCCCUAUGGGUUGUAAACUGCUUUUGCCGGGGAAUAAACCCCUCCACGUGUGGAGGGCUGAAUGUACCCGGAGAAUAAGGAUCGGCUAACUCCGUGCCAGCAGCCGCGGUAAUACGGAGGAUCCGAGCGUUAUCCGGAUUUAUUGGGUUUAAAGGGUGCGUAGGCGGCACUUUAAGUCAGGGGUGAAAGACGGCAGCUCAACUGUCGCAGUGCCCUUGAUACUGAAGUGCUUGAAUGCGGUUGAAGACGGCGGAAUGAGACAAGUAGCGGUGAAAUGCAUAGAUAUGUCUCAGAACACCGAUUGCGAAGGCAGCUGUCUAAGCCGUUAUUGACGCUGAUGCACGAAAGCGUGGGGAUCGAACAGGAUUAGAUACCCUGGUAGUCCACGCCCUAAACGAUGAUGACUCGAUGUUUGCGAUAUACAGUAAGCGUCCAAGCGAAAGCGUUAAGUCAUCCACCUGGGGAGUACGCCCGCAAGGGUGAAACUCAAAGGAAUUGACGGGGGCCCGCACAAGCGGAGGAGCAUGUGGUUUAAUUCGAUGAUACGCGAGGAACCUUACCCGGGCUUGAAAGUU